GAUGAACGCUGGCGGCGUGCCUAAUACAUGCAAGUCGAGCGAACAGACGAGGAGCUUGCUCCUCUGACGUUAGCGGCGGACGGGUGAGUAACACGUGGAUAACCUACCUAUAAGACUGGGAUAACUUCGGGAAACCGGCGCUAAUACCGGAUAAUAUAUUGAACCGCAUGGUUCAAUAGUGAAAGACGGUUUUGCUGUCACUUAUAGAUGGAUCCGCGCCGCAUUAGCUAGUUGGUAAGGUAACGGCUUACCAAGGCAACGAUGCGUAGCCGACCUGAGAGGGUGAUCGGCCACACUGGAACGUGGGCACGCUCCAGACGCCUACGGGAGGCAGCAGUAUGGAAUCUUCCGCAAUGGGCGAAAGCCUGACGGAGCAGCGCCGCGUGAGUGAUGAAGGUCUUCGGAGCGUAAAACUCUGUUAUUAGGGAAGAACAAAUGUGUAAGUAACUAUGCACGUCUUGACGGUACCUAAUCAGAAAGCCACGGCUAACUACGUG
rnacentral:rRNA from 1 species